GCCCGCGUUGUCUAAUGGCUAUGACGUCAGACUUCUACUUUCGUUCUGAGAAAAGGACUCUAUCUGGAGGUUGCGGGUUCGAGUCCCGCCGUGGGUU